CUAUUAGAUAAAUGUCUGCAGGCUGCAUCAAGAAAAGCAAACUAAGCAUCAGACCCCAUUAAAUAGAACAAGCCUCAAAUAUUUAGAUAUUAAUAUUAAAAUAAGUGAAAGUGAGUGAGAAAUUCAUUGUCUUGGCUCUAGUAAUAAUGACAGAAAAUGCUGGUAACCUGCACGUCAUUGAUUUCUAUGAACCCACAAAAAGAACUGCUUGUGCUAGGAACUGGCACCGCUCACACAGACCCAGUGAAUGAAAACAAAUGUUACCCAUGACUAGUUUCAAUUCACAUGCCAAUCUGCUUUAGUUACCAUUUUAUAAUAAAAUCUUAGAUAUUCACCACAUAAACCGAGAAUCACAAGUACAAUCAAUUAUGAACUACUGACAUCAAGGAAAGGAGUAAAAGAAGAACCCCUAAAAGACUUUCAGGGACCGUUUGCAGCUUAGGGUCUUUAUGCAUGUUAAAAAAUGCACUCCUAUAGACCUGCAGUCUUCUCCCUGUACACUCAAAUGAGGACAAUGUUUUCUGUCUUAGGACUUGAGUGUUAGAACUGGCCACAGGCCCGUUCAAACCAUGAACAGGACCAGGACCUGCUCGGUUCAAUGAUUCCAGUUCAUGAACCGCCCAGAACCGAGUUAACUGACCCCCUCUUCAUUGAACCCAAACCAUCAAUUUGAACCAGUAGUUCCAAACCAAAAACAGCCAGAUUCAAAAUUUGU
rnacentral:misc_RNA from 1 species